rnacentral:rRNA from 1 species
AUACAUGCAAGUCGUGGGGCAGCAGGACUGUAGCAAUACAGUUGCUGGCGACCGGCAAACGGGUGCGGAACGCGUACACAACUUUCCUUUAAGUGGGGAAUAGCCCGGGGAAACCCGGAUUAAUACCCCGUAAUAUUAUGAAGUGGCAUCAUUUUAUAAUUAUAGCUCCGGCGCUUAAAGAUGGGUGUGCGGCUGAUUAGGUGGUUGGCGGGGUAACGGCCCACCAAGCCUACGAUCAGUAACUGGUGUGAGAGCACGACCAGUCACACGGGCACUGAGACACGGGCCCGACUCCUACGGGAGGCAGCAGUAAGGAAUAUUGGUCAAUGGACGCAAGUCUGAACCAGCCAUGCCGCGUGGAGGAUGAAGGUCCUCUGGAUUGUAAACUUCUUUUAUCUGGGAAGAAACCCAUGUUUUCUAAUGUGGUUGACGGUACCAGAUGAAUAAGCACCGGCUAACUCCGUGCCAGCAGCCGCGGUAAUACGGAGGGUGCAAGCGUUAUCCGGAUUCACUGGGUUUAAAGGGUGCGUAGGCGGGGCAGAUAAGUCAGUGGUGAAAUCUCUGGGCUUACCCAGAAACUGCCGUUGAUACUAUUUGUCUUGAAUAUCAUGGAGGUAAGCGGAAUAUGUCAUGUAGCGGUGAAAUGCUUAGAUUUGACUUANAACACGAUUGCGAAGGCAGCUUACUACAUGUUAUUGACGCUGAAGCCNAAAGCGUGGGG